UACAUAGAGCUGAAGUGACUGAUUUAAAAACACACUUCUAUUGAAUGACACACCCAGGAUUUGGGUAUCCAGGUCAUCACUGGUGAACUUAGAGAUAAAAUGACUGAUUCCUUGGGGAGUGAGUAAAUGAAAUGAUCAGCCCCAGUUCUUAACUCCCCUCUGGAACAUCCACACUCCUGCCAUAGCCUCAUGAUGGUAGGGUACACUUUCUUGUCAGUUGAAUUUGAGCUGAGUCAUGUGACUUGCUUUAACCAAUGGGCUGUUAGCAGUAGAAGCUUGAAAUGUACUGGGAGUGUUAGGACUUGACUUCCUGUUCUCCUGCCAUCUCCAUGAGAAAAUGCACUCUGGCUCUUCUGGAAUGAGACAUAUGGAAUAGAACCACCCCAGCUGCCUAUACUAAAUGUAGAGAGAGGAAGGGAAGAGAGAUAUAUACAGAAAUAUGGAUGCCCCUCCUGCAUGCUCCGCACUGAGGAUCGAGCCUGAAACCCAGAUUCCACUCACCUGAGAGGACAACGAGCAGCACCAGUUGCCAGGAGGGAGGUGCCUGUUGGAGUCUGAAGUGGGGCUGUGGGCAAGGCUAUGUCUGCUUCUCGUGGUGAAGGCUACUUGGGGAAGUGUUUUGAACACAGCAAAAUAAGGCUGCUGAUGCAAGAGGGAGGA